rnacentral:rRNA from 1 species
GACAGAGGGUGCAAACGUUGUUCGGAAUUACUGGGCGUAAAGCGCGUGUAGGCUGCUCGGAAAGUCGGAUGUGAAAGCCCUGGGCUCAACCUAGGAAGUGCAUUCGAAACUUCCGAGCUGGAGUGCUGGAGAGGAAGGCGGAAUUCUCGGUGUAGAGGUGAAAUUCGUAGAUAUCGAGAGGAACACCGGUGGCGAAGGCGGCCUUCUGGACAGCGACUGACGCUGAGACGCGAAAGCGUGGGGAGCAAACAGG